rnacentral:rRNA from 1 species
GCAGUUCAACUAUACGCUGGAACCGGCACAAUCCAGUUUACCUAUGACGCCGAUGACCCUGCGAGGCAUGUAUUUUUAUAUGGCUGAUGCGGCGACCUUCACUGAUUGCGCGACCGGAAAACGUUUCAUGGUAGCGAAUAACGCAGAGCUGGAGCGUGGCUACCUGGCUGCGCGCGGUCACAGUGAAAAACCGGUGUUACUGUCAGUAGAAGGUCACUUUACGCUUGAGGGUAAUCCGGAUACCGGUGCGCCGACUAAAGUAUUGGCACCCGAUACGGCAGGGAAAUUUUACCCCAACCAGGAUUGCAGUAGUUUGGGGCAGUAACCCGUCUUGAGACAGAAACAAAC